CACGUAGGCACCAAGCGUUGUCCGGAUUUAUUGGGCGUAACGAGCUCGUAGGCGGUUCGGUAAGUCGGGUGUGAAAACUCUGGGCUCAACCCAGAAAUGGCAUUGGAUACUAUCCGGCUUGAGGAGUGGAGGGGGAACUGGAAUACUUGGUGUAGCAGUGAAAUGCGUAGAUAUCUGGAGGAAUACCGGUGGCGAAGGCGGCAUCCUGGACCGGCAUUGACGCUGAGGAGCGAAAGCCAGGGGAGCAAACGGG
rnacentral:rRNA from 1 species